AUGCGGAGGGAGACCGUUAGGGGUCAAUCCAUUCAGAAACUCCUGAGCAUAGUAGCCAUAUGGGUCAUCCUCCGCACUGUCAAAACUAUGGUAGAUUACUUCGUCUCCAUGAAAACGCUCUAUCAUGCGGAUGUUUAUCUUGUCUACGUUGUCGUUUGUUGUGGACAGGAUUGCUCAAGAUGUCAUGUAAUUUGGAUCAUCCAUGUUGUCGUCCAGACUCGGAAAUACAUGCUCAAUAAGCUUCUCCAGGUCGUCAGCCUCGCCCGUAGACGGCAGACAAAUAUCUUCUGGGAGUACUAUGUUGCCUUGAUUGUCGACCUCCUCAGUGCCAUUGCCGACCCUUAG
rnacentral:rRNA from 1 species